rnacentral:lncRNA from 1 species
GAAAAAAUGUCCAAUUCCCAUCGGCGGAAAAUUGUGAUUUUUAUAGACUUUUUUUGUCAAAGCAAUACUCCUUCAUUUUCCAACUAAAUGACGCGUACAGCAUGUCAUUUGAAAGAUAAAUAAAUGAACUUAACAAUGGUGUAAAAACCAACCGAAUUUGUCAAAUAUAUUCUGCGUUAUUACACGCCAAAUUUGUAUUCGAAUUAUUUUGAUACACACUGUAUAACUGUAACGAGUUACAUUUUAGCCUGAAAUGAAACGAUAACGCGUUACUUUUAUAGCCAACGUUUACAUUACUUUUUUCAUUACAUUCUUGCGGUUAAAACUUACAAUUCAUCUCUCAGUUCUCGAAAUUCUCCUCACGGUUUUCUACGACAACGCAUGCUUCAGUACUUACUACACAGCUGGGAGAUCCAUUAAUGGUAAGGUUACAUAACGUUUACAAAUAAUUAACGUCAAUCUGCUGACCACUAAUCAUUAAGUUGAAAAAAAAACUGGGGUUUUUCUUACUUGAUAAAGUUACAAAAAUUUCUAAGUAACUUGUAACUAGUUACAAAAAUAUUGAAGUAAUAUUGUAACGGCAACUAGUUACAUUUUUUUAAGUGUAACUUUUACAAGUAACUAGUUCCUUUUUUGGGAAUGUAACUAACUGUAACUAGUUCCAAAAAAUGAGUAACUUUUAAUACAGCACUGCAUAUAUUGAUAACAAUUCAGCGGCGCAUUGAGAAAAACAGAACUACCUGAAAACUGGCAAGCUGAACGUCGAGGUUUUGCUUAUAUUUUCCAGGUAACUGUAUUCCUCUCGAUCCCCUCAGUUGUCUUGUAUUAUCGUCGCUACAUGCACUGACAUAAACCGUUCGAGUUUAAAGGGGCAUUGUCACCGAUUUUUGAGCAAUUCUAGCCCUCGCAAAUUUUGCCCAAAACUGAAAAAGAAUGAGUGUAAGCACAAAAUAAAGCAAUAACAGACAAAAAAAAAACAUGGGCAGAAGUCUGGAUGGGCAAGAUUACGCCAGGAUUGAGAUGGAUUGUAAAUGGCAUCUUUAUUAAUUGUUGGCAGACACUUUUUCAAGUUUUAGUCAAUUUUUAUGAAAAUGUCAUGUUGCGUGGAAGUUCAAAGUUGUUUAAUAUGACUCGUAUAUCAUAACUUAAUCAAUUUACAAUAAAUUUGUACUUCAGUUUUUGAAUAAAAGGCGUUUUAGGUAAAAAAUCGGUGACAUUGCCCCUUUAACGUAUAUUUGAUAACAUGAUGUGUACAACAAGGUAAAACAAAAAUACAGGAUAUUCUUGUUCAGUUGCCUCGAAGCGAGAGGCAAUUAGCCAUUUCCCAAAGUCCUGGGUUUAGUCGCGUAAAUUCCAUGUUGGAGGGACAAGAAAUAUGGCGGUACACAAUUAAAUUAAAAAUUUUAAUGUAAAAAGGAGAUAUUUCAUUUUUGGUCGUCUAAAAAGUUGAUAUUUGAUAGUAGAUACUUCUACUCUUUCACAUAUUUGACGCCUGUCACCAUAUAUUUUGUCCCUCCAAACGAUCCCAGAAUGCACUGUGAUCUCUUUUGGGAAAAGGAUCAGCGCAGUAACAACCAGCAAAGUUGUAGUAGCAACUAACAAACUCGGAUUAGAUUCGGAUCAGACAAUUUCGGAUCGGAUUCGGAUUUCAAAAAAUUACCAAUUGUCGGAUUGUAAAC